GGUCUUCGCGAUCUGAAAUAUUAUAUAAACGAUUAUUUAAUAAACAUUAAGAAAUAAUAAACAUUAAGAAAUAGUUCUAAAAUUCUAAGCUAGCUGGCCUCAUAUCUAAGUAACUCAAAAGUACUUUAGACUGAAUCAAAAGAACGCUAAAAUACUGAGUGAUACCUGUUAAAAUAAAACUUUGAGAUAAUAAGUAACGAAUAUAUCAAAGAACAUAAUUAAUAUAAAACAUUUUCUCUUUGUAAUAGACGUAUUGAAAUUAGACGAGGCACUAUUGAGGAAAUUAAGGCGACAAAAACUUUAAUAACACUACUAUCAUUUAAAAAAAACUUUAACUAGGUUUCCGUUGAUUUUGUGUUUCAAAAUAUUCUUUAAAUAUGAAAUUAUGUCAAGAGCAAAGCUCUUAUGUAGAUACAUAUUUUCUGGUGCUAAAAUGUAUCUAAUACCAGUUGCUUUUCAUUUCUAAUGAAUUUCCGUAAUUAAAUUAAAAUCAUACACCAAAACUUUGGACUUAUAUUAACAAAGAGAACGGUUAGAAUAAUGUUCGCUAAAUAUAAGCAGUUGACUCGUGACCAAAAAGUGGUUGUUUUUACGUUGGAAAAAGAACGAGUGCCGGUUCGCGAGAUAGCAAGAAGUGGGAUGCAGCCAUCCAACAAUAAUAAAUUUACUGAAGAAAAAAACCAGGACGUUUGGAGCAUUCGAGUAGGAUUCAAAUCAGGAGGAAGACGUCGUCUAGGACAGAUAAUAUAAUUCAUAGGAUUAGUUUGAAAGAUCGCUUCAGGAACUCCAUACAAAUAAGAAAAGACCUGGAAGAGCAACAUCAAAUCAAUUAGUUCAAGAAUUGUACGCAUGAGGCUACAAGAGUAUGGUUUAAGUGGAAGGAGGCCAGCGAAAAAACCACUCUUGACUACAAGGAUGAGACAGGCGCGGUUGGAAUGGGCAAGAAUCCACCGUAACUGGUCUUUACAGCAAUAAAAAACGGUAAUAUGGUCAGAUGAGAGCAAAUUUAAUUUGCACUGUACCACGAUUUGAGGGAGAACAAUUUAAAGAUAAUUGUAUGGUGAGAUCGGUUAAGCAUCCUGAAAGUCAAAUGGUCUGGGUAUGCUUUUUCACCAUAAACGAUGCCCUUUACUUUUUGUUGACGGUAUGAUGAAGACACAGAAAUACGGGGAGGUUAUAUCAAAUUUUAUUCUUCCGGCUAUAGAAGACCAAUAUGGGCAUACUUCCGCGGCCAUCUUUCAGUAUGACUCGGCACAAUGCCAUCGGGCCAAAUCGGUGCACAAAUUGUUUGAAGACCUCGGAUAACACAUAUGACGUGGCCAGUAAUUUCACCCGAUUUAAAUCCGAUUGAGCAUCUCUGGCACGCUAUGAAAAAGAAAGUGGCUCAACAUAAACUGCGCUCUAAGGCAGAGUAAAAAAAAUCUUGAAAAUGUGUGGCCACAGGAAAUUUCGAACGAGGUUUUCGAAAAACUUGUUAAUUCAAUGCCCGAACGGAUCAAAGCAGUUAUAGCCGCCAAGGGUUGAUCAACUAGUUAUUAGAACAUUUAGUACAAUAGUUAUAGAUUAUUGAAAAAAUAUACAAGGAUUAUUACAAUAUUGAAAACACAAUAUAUAAUUAAACAUAUCGGAUCCAUUUCACAGAAAGAUUAUACAUUUA